UAUCAGCAUAAAUAAAAAGCAAUUAGCGCCAUCUAUUGGUGUGCAAGGGAUUGUAACAAGUGUACGAGAGGUGUGAGGUGUGGGUAACCCCUGGCGCUACACACCACUCUCAGUACUGUGUAAUUCAUUUCGUGGGUGAACCGGGAGUAACUGCUCAGUAACUAACCCACAUCCUCAUUGUUAGUGUUAUAAUUUACUGCUUCUUCUGGUGGUGUUAUCUGGUGUGUUAGCAGGAUGAUAGUGACGCUGACAAUUUUGACAUUUCUCAAUCUUGUGACUUCUAGUGAUGAAAUGUUUAAAGACGCUCGUAUGUUUCACGGAAUAACAUUGCUACCCCCACCUUUUAUGCCAUUCAUGGAAGAACUGAAUAAUUACGAAGCUGCCAGAGAAAUCUUAAGGCUCGUGGAUGUUCAACCAUUAGAGGAGCUCGUCGCGAAGAUGGGUCAAGACCGUAAGAGGAGAGAGACUUCCAGUAGGUCUGUGACAGCAGACAUGGAGAAGGCUAUGGAGCAGCUAGACUCCGUUAAACUACACAUUCAUAGACUUAAACGGUCUUCAGACUAACUUGUCAGCUAUAGUGCAUGUAAGGUUAUUAGUCAGCCAUGUUGUGGAUUGAUCUUCAAUUUAAGAAAAAUUGAAUGUCUUUCGAAAAUAAAGUUCAUCGCAC